UACGUAGGUGGCAAGCGUUGUCCGGAUUUAUUGGGUUUAAAGGGUGCGUAGGCGGUCCUAUAAGUCAGUGCUGAAAUAUCCCGGCUUAACCGGGAGGGUGGCAUUGAUACUGCAGGACUUGAGUGAAGUAGAAGUAGGCGGAAUUGACGGUGUAGCGGUGAAAUGCUUAGAUAUCGUCAAGAACACCGAUAGUGAAGACAGCUUACUAGACUGCAACUGACGCUGAGGCACGAAAGUGUGGGGAUCAAACAGG
rnacentral:rRNA from 1 species